CUGGAAGUCCUGUUACUUUUGGAGCAGAAGUUGACGCGU
rnacentral:sRNA from 1 species